CUCUACUCCGUGACCCGGUGUUCAACAUCCGUGUUCGAAUUCUGGGAAAUUUUUUUUUUUCUUUUUCCUUUUUAUCGGUACCGGGGAUCGAACUCACGACCACCUGCUUGCAAGGCAGGUGCUUAUGCCGCUGAGCUAAAUCCCCAGCCCGGGAAAUUUUUAAUUACACCUAGGAGCAAAUGUGUGUAAAAGCUGGAAGGAAAGGAAAAACGUCCCAAGAAAAAGAGGAAAAAUGUCAUGGUUUUGGGGGACGCCUGGGAGGAGGAACCCCAAGUCUCAACCACAGACCAGAGGUAGCAGUUGGGUAACAGGACCUUCAAGACAAG
rnacentral:lncRNA from 1 species